AAACCCUAAACUAUCUCAUUCUCUCUCACCCUCACUUACCGCCUCUUUCUUUUCUUUUUUUUUUUUUUUUUUGAGAUAACGCCUCCUUCUCUCUCUUUCUCAAGAUCUCUCAAGCUCUCAAGGUGAAAUGGAAGAUGGUCUGAAUUAGUGGGUUCGAUAACCAUUUUUCAAUGCCGGUUGCCGGCGAUUGGGGGCUUGCUUUGCACCUAGCUGUGCUUGCGUCGUCGAGGUUCGGAGUUUGCAAGUAGCUGUUCUUGGAUUAUCGGGGUUCACAGGUGGCUGAUUUUGUCGUAGAGGUUGGGCGUUUGAUGAGAUUAGGAGCUCGCCAAAAGAAAAAUUUUAUCACAUUUAUUUUGGGAUAAUCUUCUCAUUUUUUUUCUCAUUUUGAGAUUUAUUUAUCUCUGAUUGUAUAGUAAUGUUUCUUUUGAACUCUGCGUUUUCCCCUUUUUGUCUCUGCUGAUAGUAGUGUUUUUUGGUUUGUAUUGAUGUUUAGUUUUCGUUGGUGCUUUGUUGCUCUUUUGGAGGCAACAGUAAUAAAAAAAAAAUGUAUAAAGAAUGUGAUUAUAGUGUUUGUAUGGUGUUGUUAGUAUACUAAUAAUUUGAUUAUAGUGUUUGUAUGUUGUUAUGGAAGAAUUUGUCUAUCUCUGUGAUUAAUUGUAAAUUAAUUUAGGUUUUUAUUUUAAUAAAAUACAUUUUUGUCUAUCUCUAA